AUAUUUAUUUCUUCUCUACGGAGCUGGCAGAGUACCCGGCAGAGGUUAGAAUCCUAUGA
rfam:Firmicutes bacterium CAG:791 genomic scaffold, scf70